rnacentral:tRNA from 1 species
GGGCGCUUAGCUCAGGGGGAGAGCGCUUCCCUGACACGGAAGAGGUCAGAGGUUCAAAUCCUCUAGCGCCCA